CUCUCUCUCUCUCUCUCACACACACACACACACACACACACACUCUCUCUCUCUCAUACACACACACACACACACACACACGUGUCUGACUACAAAGUAACUGCGUUAUCCUGUGACCCCGCGUGCACCCUUGUCUUGGUGACCUGGGUUUAACCCCCAACCCCCAAAGAUGGGAUGCAGCCAGGAGUGCAGUGUCCCGCGUGGGGUUCCAUUCUCCAGGGACCAGGCGCCCUGGCCACCCCUGACGGGACUCUCCCCACCCUCUGGCGUGCACUCUUUCCCCUCGACUUCAUUGCGCGCGUUUGCUCUCCCCUAGUCGUGAUCGCUCCGUCUGCGCUCGCGCGCCGCCUCUUUGGCCCUCUCAGUCCACGUCCGCCCGGGGCCAAGCUCAGAUGUCGUUUGCCCAUCUCUGGGUUGAGGGACUGGCCUAAAUGUUUUGAUGAGUUUUCGGUGAGAAACGCGGCCCUUAACUGCUCCCACUCGCGGCGGGGGGAUACACUGACGCUUCCGACUUCGCUUGCCCCUGCCGCAGCACUUCGUAAUUACUGACACAAUGCGAUAUGGGGCUGUCCAUUGUUUCACUGCGUGUUACUGUGGAGUGUGCAUUGUGACAGUGGUGGGACUUAAAAUUACACCGUUUCUUUCCCCAAGUACUAAAAGAUAGAAUGAAUUCGGUGUGCGGAUAUGAGAAAGCUUUCCUUUAAAAUCUCAGUUUGGCCUGUCAAACGAGUCUCAUCCUGAAUGUUAUAUUGCCUAAUUUGCAUUUUGUCAUUGUUUUGUUUCUUAAACAUCGAAUUAGAGCUAUUUAGGAACGUACUCGGGAGGGCUGAGCACCUCCGGGUUGGCUGUUUUGCCUUUUAGCAUCAUUUUGUUUCGUAAAGGCCAAAUUACCGAUGCUUGGGAGUGUACCCAGGAGAGCUGAGCACCUCCUCUCUCCUCUUCUCUUCCCUAUCAGGAGAAAGCGACGAGAAGCCGCAUCCGCUCCGCGUGGCUCCUGGAUCCCAGGCGAGCGAGGAGGCCAGAGUGAGCGGGGCCAAGUCAGGCUCUGCUCCUGCAAGGGGUCCACGUAAAACACUUGCCCCGAGGAAAGUUAAAAAUCCUAGGGAGGUUAUCCGGGACGCCUGAAUGUCAAGAGAGGAGAAUCGAUGAGGUUUCAGGGAGCGUUCUGCGGUUCAGGCGUCCCCUACUCAAGAUUUUUCCGGUAACCUCUAGGAGCCUACGCGGAUUGUGAGCCCAAGUGCUCUGGCCACGUCUCCCAGCCUGCGGUAGCCCUUCGACGACCCAGGCAGCAGGCAGCAAGGAUUCCGAGAGAAGCCCAAACUUGUUUGCAUUCACACAAUCCCCCUCCCCCUUCCUGGACCGCUAACGAUACACGGCGGAGUGUGUGACAGUGGGUGUAUUUCGCAGUGGGGAAUAAGCAUCGUGUGCCGGGAGGGAGGGAGGGAGAAGAGGGAAACUUUUUGGUUUUUCAAUCUGAAUUUCAUCCAAAACAUCUGAUAAAUAAUAUGUGGGUUGGAGUUUGUUUUCUCUGUUUCGUCCUCUUGAUCUUUAAUGAGAAGUAGUGAGAAAACUUUUUUUGGACUUUUGAAUAUCCAAAACUGUGGAAACAUAUGUUGUAAGGUGUACACAGAGAGAAGCUUUUUGUCUUCUGGAAACAUAUUUAAGUACCCUAUGUUUCCUUUGGUGCCAGAACCAUUACAAUUGAUUCACUGUUGUUCAGCUGAUAUCAAAUAACAAGUUAUAUACCCCAAGUCCUAAGAUACAGUUUCACAAGUUAAGAAUAAAACAAACAGAAAAGGUGAACUGUAGCCCAGAGUCAUAUAGAGGCAGCUAUACUUUCUUUAAAGAAAAUAACUUGUUCUGUCAUGGUUCAGGCAUUCAGUAAAAAUAAAGAUACUAACCAGCCACCUGUUCAUUCACAGGCAUAUGUCCUCCAGAAAACUGAGGUGAGAAUGUUGUAUUAGAAUCCAUAAAGUAUAACUUCAGUGACAGAAUGAAAGCUCAUGAAGUAUGUGGGAGACUUUUAGUUUAGAAAACUUGAGAACUGAUGAUUGUUACACCUUCUUGGUGACAAGGUGUAGCUUUCUUCAAAUGUGCUAUAGAUGAAGACAGUUAUGAGUUGCUACAUUAUGAAUCUGGACAUACUAUGAGUCCAAUAAUGUUCCCUGAUUAACUUCAUACAGUCUCUAAGAGUAUAACCCUAUGUGGAUAGGAUCAAUCGCAUACAUAUCUCCGAAGAACCGUGUUUUUCUUCUAUGACUUACUCUUAUGCUCCCCAGACCCUGGACAUAGAAAAAGUCCUCAAUUUUCCCUUUACUAGCCCUGCCAGUCACCAAGAUGGGUACAGGACUGACCUUUGCUUUCAUACAUUCCUCAGCUAUAUUUCUGUGACUUCUUUUAUCCUUCAGCGUUGCUCUUGAUGUUCGUUCUAGCCUGAUUCAUCCAGAAAAUACAUCACAGAGUGGAUGGGAAGACCCCAAGGUGAUCCGCCUUCAACCCUCAAUCUCUAGAUCUGCUUCUUUGUUAUCUCCAAGAACACCUAAUUCAGAGGCCCAGUCUUCAUGCUUGAAUACAAUCACUGUGAGAUCGAGAAUCUUGUCUGCCUUAUAUCCUGCUGAAUCUCCUGUGACAAGAACGUGCCUGCACGUAGUAGGCACUCUAUGCCAACUAUUGUGAGACACACCAUUGUUUUAAGUACCAUGAAAAAAGGAGAAGUGCAGCUGUGCUGUGUACAUUGUGCUGUUAUUCCCAACGUCCGUCCACAUCUUCCCUUACCAGCCUCACAGUGUGUGGAGCACACUUCUCCAUGCCAUUGUCAGAACUGACCACGUGACUUGCUUUGACCAAUUAAACAUGGAAUUGUGUUAUAAACUUUCUCUCAUCAGCCCGAACUAUUUGGUUACCACAUUAGAAGAGGCAUGUGUUCCCAGUUUCACAUCCUCCCAGCCUGACUCCUACUGUAGCCAUUGCUGAAACAACCUGCUUCCUGCGGGAGUAAACUGACAGCACCUCUCUUCAUUUGUACUGCAUACAUUUCAUGUUCUGUCCCCUGAGUUCCUCUGACUUCGUGACAACUUAGAAGAGUGAGGGGGCUAAGGUCCCAAGGGGUAAAUUUGGACCAAUGGGAGAUGGAAGCUGGUAGAUAACUGCUCCUCUCUUGCAUCAAGCUGAAGAAUAUAUUCUCGUAGCAACUUAAGGGGGCCCAGCAGGCUCAAGGCCUUACUUGCCCACAGUGAUGACUAACUCAAGAACACACUUGUAUUGACUUUUCCUGUUUCACUCUCCUAGUCAUCCACUGCUGUUUCCCGAGAUCACUGUCCAAAAUAAACUAUCUGAAAGUAA